ACUCUAGUUUGACAUUGUGAAAAGACAUGGAGGGUGUAGAAUAAGUGGGAGCUUCGGCGCCGGUGAAAUACCACUACCUCUAUAGUUUUUUUACUUAUUCAAUGAAGCGGAGCUGGAGGUAAAACUCCACGUUCUAGCAUUAAGGCCUUUUGGCUGAUCCGGGUUGAAGACAUUGUCAGGUGGGGAGU
rnacentral:ncRNA from 1 species